UUGAUUCUCGCGAGAACCACUCGGUCAAUUUCGCCCACGUUUAGUACUAAUCAUCAUUAGGAAAAGUGGAUUCAAGUUUGGUCGAAUGAAUGACAAUAUGCCUUACAACGUGGAAAUAAUUCAGAAUUAAUGACAACAGGAUGGGUCUUUAUGAAAGCCUCUUUCUUCAUGAAAAUUCGUGGAUGUUUAAUUUCUUUUUUUAAAUCCUCUUCUCCGGAAAUGAAUUCUGCAAGGGAUCAAUAUGUCAUGGUAAUACAUGUAAUUCAAUUUUGUUCACAACAUGACCUCAAUGUCAUAAAGAGGGUUCAAAUAUUAGAUUGGAAUAGAUCGGAAAAUUCUUAUAAAAUAUUUUAUUCUAAAGUCAAAUUGAACCAAAACCAUAAAAAAAAACCCAGGUAUGAUUGGAGGUAUUCAACGCAGGGAACUUAAGGUGACGAAUGAACUCGGUAGGAUAAAUGAGAUCAUAAUGAGCUGAUACGUUAUGACAGUUGCUCCGCCUUGAUCAACCCAUAUUUGAAUACACAUACACAAACUCUAUUUUAGGAUCAUUUAAAAAUAUAAGCCGUUUUACGAUAAUUUCCGCACAUGCGCACUCGACACGUCGAGUGACAACGGCAUCUGUUUACAUUUACGUUAGUUACAUUAAGAUGGCGACCCGCGGAAAUUUGAAGAAGUUGAGAGUUUGAGCACUCAAAGAGUUGGCAAAAGAUUUGUCAAUAAAUACAGAGAAGAAAGAAAAAGACGAACUUAUACGUGAACUUUUCGAUGCACUAGUGCCCAUCUCUUCCCUCACUCCAGUCGUUUUUCGUUCACAAAACGAAACUAUAUUUCCUGAAGCAAAGGAAAAUAUUCCUCCCUUUAAUUCGGUCGCUUGCCAAAAAUCACUACCCAGGGGUCUCAAAAUAUCGUUUUCUACUAUUUACGAGUUCAUGAUUUCAAGGAGAACAGAAUCCGGCAACAUUAUAAACAAUUUUAAAGGGAUUGGCAGAGCUGUAAAACACUAUGACGCUUGUGAUGUGAGAGAAGUGUCCAAUGCACAGGUAUACCAUAUUUGCAAUCACUUUAUAUAUUUUGACUUUAUUAAGCAUUAUAUAUUUUGAAAAUGCAAUACAGCAUACUCACUUCAGUUUAAGACUAAUGAUCGUGAAAGGGUUUAUAUUGCCUUUAUUCUACGCUUGAAAUAAGUUAAAUUUCACUGAUUUGACAACACAUGACAAGGCAUUAUGAUGAGAAAUACCCCGGUGAAGUUUGUCGUAUGGUUGGAAUCAGCGUCUAAAAAGCGCUUACUACGCACACAGCAAAGACGACGUGAAGAUGUCAGCUCUACAACUUUGAAAUCGGAAAAAUCAAGGGUUUUACACACGUUAUUUGAAGAAGGUAUGGCUAGUCUAUACUUGGAUUUUUCAACACCUGAAUAUAGACUGAACUCUAUGAUCAUGGAUGUUGCCUACCACAGGCUCUAUAAACCAGCACGGACCAUGGAUGAUAUUCCUUCCAAAUCAUGCCGUCAGUUCCUUAAGCUCAAAUUUACAAACAAAGGAAUAGAUGCCGUCAACAUAAGCAACAUUCUUCGUCAUAAAAAGGUUGAUAACAUUGGCUGAUUUGCAUAUAAUGACUGUUAGUUAUUGGCUGGUAUGCAGUGAAAGGGAGCUAAAAAGGAGUAAAAAGUUAAUUUCAGCCAGGUGAGAAUUAAUUUCUUCUUUUUUGUGUUAUACAUAUCUAAUUCUUUUCUUUUGCUGCUUCAAAUCUUGUGUAUGGGAAAAUUUUCAGUCUAAUAUGUUGGCAAUGUUACAGGUAGUAUGGUUGAAAUAAACCAGUGUUACGCGGUUGAGUUAAGGCUUUUCCCCAAAAAUUUUUAAUAUCAGUGAUUAUCAUAAAUAUACUUUACCGCACUGGCACAUUGCACGACGUCACAAUGAAAAAUACGUCAUGACGAAGGUCAUGACGUACAUAUCUACAGUCCUUUUGUGGUUGGAAAUGUCAAAAUAUUGUUUCGUUAUUUACCACCGCUGUCAAACGGUAAACUGCAAUCGCGUAAAAGUUUCUGUCAAAUGGGUUAUAUUAAUUAUCUUUGAUAUUGAAAAUGUUUCAAUUUCUUCUUUAUAUAGCAUACAUGCUAAAGUAAUAUCCAUAUUAUAUUGUGAUCUUGAUAUCGCCCCUAAUCUACACGUAUAGUUACUUUCACAAUGGACUCAUUUGCAUAAACAGGGUUUCCGUACAUAAAAAUCUCAUCAUUGGCACGACACCCCGAGGUUUUUAAGUGAAAGAUGUUUCAUUUAUGUGACAUGUGAACUUCAGUGCCAAAGGAAAGUUAGGGGAGCAAGGUCUGGCUUCAACAGAAAAUAUGUUUUUCAGGGUAGAUUCAACUUCGUAUGAGCAAAAAUCGCUGCAUCUUGCAUAUUCAAUGCAAAAAUUAGACAUGUUACAAGUCACAAUAAACUUGCUCUCAGCACUUUUCAAAUCAAGAAAUUAAUAUGCUUUGAAGUUAUAAUAACUUCAACUUUCAUUGAUAUCUGGAUAUCGUGCCAAUUCAACGAUUUAUACAUGCACGAUACGUUUUUAUCUUGAUAUUUGAUCACGUGAUACAGAGUUGAUGUAGAGACUGUCGGUCUGGUGAAAAAUGUAUAAGAAGUCAAUAUGCACUUAAUUAUAUAUACAUAUUGUUUAUGUAUAAAAGGGUUGUGUUUACAGAAUUUGUCACAAAUUGAUCUGUUUAUUAAUGCUUUUUUCCUGACAUAUUUCUAUGGCCCUACUUAACACAACUGCGUAAGGAAUGUCCAGUAAUGGGAUGACAUCAUGAGAGUUUGGCAUACAGACAUUCACAUGAUUAAUGAUGAAACUGAAAACCUCAAGUGAAAGGCAUUGAAAAUUAUCCAGUUCCCAUAUACCUGAAAAAGAGGAGGGAUGCCACAAUAUUGAUAAUAGAUUUUUGUCAAAUUGAGAAGCAAGGAUGUAUAAAAAAAAAAUGCAGAAAUUAUAAUUUAUGUAUUUGUUAAAAAUACUGUUCACUGCACAUACAUGUAUAUUUUUUUAAACUUAUCUAGAAGUAUAUGAAUAAAUUCAUAUUAAAACUGAAUGUAUGAGUUUUCAUGACUUUUAUCAAUAAAGCUUACCAUAUUUAUUGUACAUAUAUCUAAUUUCCCUUAUACAUUGUAGUCAUAUGGGAGCUUGCUGGCAUUCAGAGUUCUGACAUCAAUCUAAAAAAUAUGCAUAUUUCACCACAAGAGUCAUUUGAGCACUUAACAUGUAUCAUGUAUAAACCUAGUUAAACAACUUCAAAAUCUAUCCAACAUGUUUUAAACGAACACAAAAGGUUCUUCCUAAUUUCUUUUUUUUUCU